AUCACUUCUCGGCCUUUUGGCUAAGAUCAAGUGUAGUAUAUAUACACUAUGGAAUACUACUCAAUGAUUAAAAAAAGAAUGAAGUCCU
ensembl:snRNA U2 U2 spliceosomal RNA